rnacentral:rRNA from 1 species
GACGAACGCUGGCGGCGUGCUUAACACAUGCAAGUCGAACGGAAAGGCCCUGCUUUUGUGGGGUGCUCGAGUGGCGAACGGGUGAGUGACACGUGAGUAACCUGCCCUUGACUUUGGGAUAACUUCAGGAAACUGGGGCUAAUACCGGAUAGGAGCUCCUGCUGCAUGGUGGGGGUUGGAAAGUUUCGGCGGUUGGGGAUGGACUCGCGGCUUAUCAGCUUGUUGGUGGGGUAGUGGCUUACCAAGGCUUUGACGGGUAGCCGGCCUGAGAGGGUGACCGGCCACAAUGGGACUGAGAUACGGCCCAGACUCCUACGGGGGGCAGCAGGGGGGAAUAUUGCACAAUGGGCGGAAGCCUGAUGCAGCAACGCCGCGUGCGGGAUGACGGCCUUCGGGUUGUAAACCGCUUUCGCCUGUGACGAAGCGUGAGUGACGGUAAUGGGUAAAGAAGCACCGGCUAACUACGUG